CUGAAAAGUGGAUAAUGGAUAAUGGCUCCAGAGUCAUAAAUAUAUGCUCUAUAACUUCUAGGGCAUGAUUUGCAGGCGGUUAUAUAUCUGCUCAAAUAAUUAAAAUCACAUAAUGUCGAGAAAAAAGUAACUAAGGUAAAUACGAAAUCACUUUGGUGAUAGUCUACCAAAUUCUUGCAUUCAGUGCCCACUUGAAAAGGGGAAAAAAUAUACCGUCCUUGUACAGCUCGGUAAUGACACACAAUCCACAAGGGAUGG